UAGCUCAGGUUUCUAUUCAUUCACAAAUAUAUCUUUUGCUUUUUACUAAAGGGUUCCGUGGAGUGGAAUGUUGAUGAGUUCAACUUAUUUUUGUGGGCUUUGCUGUUGCCAAGCU